rnacentral:rRNA from 1 species
UACGGAGGGGGCUAGCGUUGUUCGGAAUUACUGGGCGUAAAGCGCACGUAGGCGGCUUUGUAAGUUAGAGGUGAAAGCCCGGAGCUCAACUCCGGAAUUGCCUUUAAGACUGCAUCGCUAGAAUUGUGGAGAGGUGAGUGGAAUUCCGAGUGUAGAGGUGAAAUUCGUAGAUAUCGGGAGGAACACCAGUGGCGAAGGCGACUUCCUGGCCUGUUCUUGACGCUGAGGCGCGAAAGCUAGGGGAGCAAACGGG